rnacentral:rRNA from 1 species
UACGGGGGGAGCAAGCGUUGUUCGGAUUUACUGGGCGUAAAGGGCGCGUAGGCGGUCAGCACAAGUCAGUUGUGAAAUCUCCGGGCUUAACCCGGGAACUGCGUCCGAUACUGGAAGGCUUGAAUCCGGGAGAGGGAUGUGGAAUUCCAGGUGUAGCGGUGAAAUGCGUAGAUAUCUGGAGGAACACCGGUGGCGAAGGCGACAUCCUGGACCGGUAUUGACGCUGAGGCGCGAAAGCCAGGGGAGCAAACGGG